AUCGAAACAGGGUGACCGUAAAGUUUGAUCUUGGGUCUCGAGAUCUUAAAACGGGGACCGUAAAGGGUAAUAUUGGGUCUAAAUUCCGAUUAAUGGUCCCCGGAUAAUUUAUUUUGCUUCCUAUUGAUAAUAAAGAUUUAUCGGUAUAAAAUGGGCAUGCGUAUCAUUAGCUAGUUGGUGUGGUAACGGCAUACCAAGGCAACGAUGAUUAGGGGUCCUGAGAGGGAGAUCCCCCACACUGGUACUGAGACACGGACCAGACUCCUACGGGAGGCAGCAGUGAGGAAUAUUGGUCAAUGGAGGCAACUCUGAACCAGCCAUGCCGCGUGCAGGAUGACGGUCCUAUGGAUUGUAAACUGCUUUUGUACAGGAAGAAACCUCCCUACGAGUAGGGACUUGACGGUACUGUAAGAAUAAGGAUCGGCUAACUCCGUGCCAGCAGCCGCGGUAAUACGGAGGAUCCGAGCGUUAUCCGGAAUUAUUGGGUUUAAAGGGUUCGUAGGCGGUUUUAUAAGUCAGUGGUGAAAUUUCUUAGCUUAACUAAGACACUGCCAUUGAUACUGUUUAACUUGAAUAGUAUGGAAGUAACUAGAAUAUGUAGUGUAGCGGUGAAAUGCUUAGAUAUUACAUGGAAUACCAAUUGCGAAGGCAGGUUACUACGUAUUUAUUGACGCUGAUGAACGAAAGCGUGGGGAGCGAACAGGAUUAGAUACCCUGGUAGUCCACGCCGUACACGAUGGAUACUAGCUGUUCGGUUUUCGGACUGAGUGGCUAAGCGAAAGUGAUAAGUAUCCCACCUGGGGAGUACGUUCGCAAGAAUGAAACUCAAAGGAAUUGACGGGGGCCCGCACAAGCGGUGGAGCAUGUGGUUUAAUUCGAUGAUACGCGAGGAACCUUACCAGGGCUUAAAUGUAGAUUGACAGAUUUGGAAACAGAUUUUUCUUCGGACAAUUUACAAGGUGCUGCAUGGUUGUCGUCAGCUCGUGCCGUGAGGUGUCAGGUUAAGUCCUAUUACGAGCGCAACCCCCUAUUGUUAGUUACCAUCGCGU
rnacentral:rRNA from 1 species